UUCAGCUCAACCACCGAGAGAAAGAAAAACAAUGACAAACAAGACUGGUCACUUGUUUUGUCUCACUUUAGCCGAGAGAGAGUAGAGAGAGUUGAGAGGAAAUUUUGUGCCAUGCUUCAACCUUCCAGCCGAGAGGAGCUUGAGAGAAGAAUAACGAAAUUUCUUGUUUUGCUUCCACUUCAGCCAAGAGGAACCAGAGAAAGAAACUUAAAGGAAGCUUGUGUCUUACUUCCAUUUCCAGCUUGCUUGAUCGGGUAGAAGGACCAAACAGGGGAGUUAACUUCUAGCUUGCGUCAAAGGUAACAUGACUUGGAAUUUCAAUUUCUUUCACAUACUUUAGAGGGCUUUUGAUAUAUGUUUGGUUGAGGUUGGAUUGAGGUAGAAACAGGUUGUAGAGACUUACUUUAUUGCGGAAAUUUUCCAGCUUGGAUUGAACUAGGAAUAACCAUUUGUUUUCUAGAUUUUGGCUCUUGUUUUGUGCAAGUUACUAGGGAAUCCUUGAAUCCCUUUUGCUAGAUGAAGCUUGAUGUAAAUAUAGCAUCCAUGUGAGCUAGUGGUUGCUAAAAUGAAAUUUCCAGAUUUGACGAGGAGAAACAUGAGCUCAAUUUACAGCUUUUCUUGUGAAAUUUUGAGGCGUUCCACUAGGAAGUUUUGCUAUAAAUGUUAUAUUUCUUGUUUCGUAUGAUAUAUAGCAUGUUGUCUUGAUCUUGGUAGAAAUUGCUGGCUUAGAUGUGAGAUUGGCAGCAGUAAAGUUGAAGUAACUCUUGUGAAAGCUUGAAAUUGUCCGAAGUGGAAGAGAGGAAGAGUUGAGCUUCACCUUUGGUUUUUGUUGAAAUUUGAUGCUGAAAUUAUGUUAAAGUUGCUGAUAUGAAUGUCAUACUGAAGUGUAUGAGUGGUUUGAAUAAAUUUUUGUCAUUUUAAAAGAGAAAAGGAGUUUUCACAAGUGAAAAAUGAGUUUCCAGAUUUCGGCUUUCACUGACCAGUCUCAGUAAAAUGCUUAUAUCUUGAUGUAGAAAAAUCCGAUUGAGGUGCCGUCAGUGGCAUCGGAACUAGACUCAUGGCCCUUCGUUCUAUAAAAAUUUCAUAUUUUUCCUCCUGGUGUACUGCUGUCCGUGAUUCCUCAAAGUAGGCUGUCCUGCUUGAAUGUCCUAUUUUUGCAGGAAAAUGAAUUUGUAACUUAGAUGAUGAAUCUGCCCUGUAUGGUUACCCAUAGUUAGAGGCCGAAUUGGCCUUAGCACAAAACAUGAAAGUUGUAGGGAAUGAUAUUUUAGAGAUUCUGCGAAAUUUCAGGUCAAUCGGAGUAGCGUAGCUUGUGAAAGAUGGAAUUACCCUUGCUGUCCUGUUUCUACCCGAACUUGAGAACUGCGAUUGUAAUUGGUUAAUUUGGUUGGGAAUUCUUCAGAAUUGGUUAUUGAGGUCUUCUGAUGAAAUGUAGCCCUGUAUCUUAGCUUUCGGAUGGCUUUGGAAUUACUGGAUUUAGACUUAGGUAGCCUGAUUUAGGAUGUUGCACCAGAAUGCAUUUUGUGAACCUAUUUUUCCGGUUCUGGUGUAGUAUAUUGCAUUUUUGACCUAGUUAAACUCAAAACUGGGCAGAGUGACCUUCUUCAACACUGUAGCCCUAUCUCUUAGCUUCGAAAUGGUGGGUCCUGGACCUUCAUCGAUAAUCGUAGUGCUUUUGGUGCCAAAACCGCAAAAUGAUGUCAAAAACUAUUUUUUGGGUUAACACUUAACCCCAUUUCCGGAUUUUUCUGGUUUCCUCUAAUGCUUAUGGAACCCUAUUUUGAUAGUAUUUGGCAUUGGUUUAUGGCUCGUUAUCGAGUCUUAUUGUACUUGUUUGCAUGUUUUAGGGCGUGACGGUGGUUUACGACGCUCCUUUGACGGAGGUGUAUGAAAUAUCAUUUUCAAACUUGGUGAGUGUACUACACAUGGGUGUUACUAUAUGGCUUUAAUACUUGAACUUGAUGCGUUGAAUGUUUACUGCACCAUUGAUAUUGAUUGAAGGGAGGGUGUACUUUAUCACUCUCACUUAUAUGCCUUAUAUCAUUGUUUAUCAUGUUAUUGGAAUGUUACAUGAAAUGAAAGUACUUGACUUGGUGUCGUUUGGAGAGUAUCCAACGACCAAGAUUUGUUAUCAUUGAGCUCAACCCCAUUGGUAGUUGAUUGAAUCGAGCCGGCGAGGGCUUGGUCGUGCCAAUUAAUGAGCCUUGGGGACUGUUAUAUGGAAUCUUAUAGUAUGAGAGACUCUCGAUUCCGGUAUACUCGAGUAAUACCACAUUGCAAGUGUUUGGAGUGCAGGCCCGGUAGGGGAAUGUUAGGUGGACGGAAUGGAAGUAAAGUGGAGCCUACGGUUGGUUACUUUUAAAUAUUGACGGAGGGUCAAUGAAGUCCGAUCAAGUAUACAAACGAGGAAAGGGGCUCUUGAGAGCCGUCCGUAUCCUUUUAUUAAUUUAUUGAAAUAUGACCAUGGCUUACUUUCUUGUGGAAUGCAAAUCUCAUGCUUAUAUGAACUUGGUUGCUUGAGUGGUAUUAUCUCACUGGGCGUAAGCUCACCCGAUUCCUUUUGUUUUCCUUACAGGAAAUAAACACUUUUGAAUGACUUUUGAUAGUUGGUUGCCGAAUUGAGUUAGUUGGACAUAUCUUUUGUAUAGCUCCUUGAUUGAAACCCUAAAUGUACUUUUGGGUCUGUUUCUCUUUUGAUUUGGCAAACCGUACAUGUAUCCACUUUGGAAUAAUUUUGUAUGCCACUUUGGAUUGUAUAUGCUUAAUUUCAACAUGUAAAUAUUUGCUUGAUGUUCGGUUGGAUUUUGACAUGUCGGUUACUAUUCAUGGCCGACUCCGGCUUCAUUUUUUU
rnacentral:lncRNA from 1 species